rnacentral:rRNA from 1 species
AACGAACGCUGGCGGCAGGCCUAACACAUGCAAGUCGAACGCCGUAGCAAUACGGAGUGGCAGACGGGUGAGUAACGCGUGGGAACAUACCCCUCGGUUCGGAAUAACUCAGGGAAACUUGAGCUAAUACCGGAUACGUCCGAGGUUUUAAUCGACCUUGGAGAAAGAUUUAUCGCCGGAGGAUUGGCCCGCGUCUGAUUAGCUUGUUGGUGAGGUAAUGGCUCACCAAGGCGACGAUCAGAGCUGGUCUGAGAGGAUGAUCAGCCACAUUGGGACUGAGACACGGCCCAAACUCCUACGGGAGGCAGCAGUGGGGAAUAUUGGACAAUGGGCGAAAGCCUGAAUCCAGCCAUGCCGCGUGAGUGAUGAAGGCCUUAGGGUUGUAAAGCUCUUUUACCCGGGAAGAUAAUGACGGUACCGGGAGAAUAAGCCCCGCUAACUUCGUGCCAGCAGCCGCCGUAAG